ensembl:miRNA Mir6397 microRNA 6397
GCAGUCUCUCCCUCAAAUUCUCACUGAAAGAAUCCUGGAUAUGCAUGAGGCGAUUUCUGGAGACUUUCUGUGGAGUGAGUCUAAAAGGCUGCU